AAGUCGUAACAAGGUCUCCGUAGGUGAACCUGCGGAAGGAUCAUUACAUUCAGUAGCCUAGCUACUUGUUUACACCCUUGUUUUUUUGCGCACUUCACUGUAUCCCUCGGCGGGCUUGCUCGCCGGUUGGACAACAUUUAUAACCUUUUUUAAUCUUCAAUCAGCGUCUGAAUUAUAUUUAAUAAUUACAACUUUCAACAACGGAUCUCUUGGUUCUC
rnacentral:misc_RNA from 1 species